UGGCUUCACUUUGUGGUGUUACUUACGAUUUAGGAACAUGUAUGCAUUCCUGCUUUGGGGAUUUUACAACUUCCCUUUUGGAAUUCCAUAGAAAAUAUUUCGCUCCAUCUUUUCUUCUGCUGUCUUCUUUCCUCUUUUGCUGCUUAUCACAGGCUUUUGAAAGUGGAAGCCGUUCAAGAUGGGGAAAAAAGAAAUCUAUUUCAGCUAUAAGAGGCGAUUUCUGCACUUUUUUGUUCUAAUGUUGCGUGGGUAAUUAUAAUGCAAAAUGAUUGUGCUUUACAUUUCAUGUAUAUAAUGUAGGGAUGUGUCUACUCCAAGAAUAAACUAAAUAUUAAAAUUACGAAAUGUAGCCCUUCAGGUGACAAUGUUGUAUUCCCCUUUAGAUAUUACAUAUAACUAAAGAUUUGGAGAAAUUCAAGCUUGACAAAGAAUGAUUUCAUGUUUGGAUUGUUAUUGCAUAUCAUUUAUAAUGGUUUUAUACCUUAUAUUAUAUACUAUUAUGCUGUUAAAAUAAUAUACAGAUUAUAUUGAUGUAAGCUACUAAUAUACCCUUAUUAAGAUAAUAGAUUCCUUAACAAUUCAAAACUUAAAAACAAAGAUUAUUAUUGGUGAAGUGGCUAGAAAGAGGAAGAUUUUGUCUACAAUGACGAGGAUUAGUAGCUUUACAAAAUGCAGAGCAAACACUCUGAGGGAAAGCAACAUAGUAUGCCAUACUAUGAUAUUUAUAAUGGUUUACCUCAAGCUUUCUAUAUGAAGCAACAAUGGAGCUAAAAUCAGCAGUUUUGUGAGAGGGUUGUGGGUAUCAACUUCCCAAAUGAGCCCAUUUGUGAUUUCUAAUUUUUCUAACCUCUAUUUCAUUUGUUAUUUCUGGUAAGCUUUUCCCUUUUCUUCCUUUGUUGCACUGAUUUUUAGCCAUCCCUUUUGGAUUCCUUUGAAAUUUUGUGCACUUUUGCUUCAAUUUUGGUGUUCUUAAUCUUUCUCAUAAUUUCUUGCUAGAUAUCUUACAUGAAUGUCAGUAAUUAUCUGAUAUGCACAUGCGUGUUUGAAAUUAGAUAGCUGAUACAUGUAAUUGUGUAUUAUUUUUGAAUGCACGUUGAUGUCUUCUCGCCUUUUGAAACUAAUUAAUUACUUAAAAUUGAAACUUCUGUGCAAAAAUUUAUAUAUUAAGCUUGUUGUUGGAAGAUUGAGUCUUCCAGUAUCUCCAAAGGGGGUUAAAAAUGCAAGAGGAUUCAAGUGCAAAAAGGACUCAGUGGAGCCAGUAAUUGCAGAAGAGGAGCAGCAAACUCAGAAAUGACGAGGGAUGUUUUUGUGGGGGUUGUACAGGAAGAAUGAGGAGAAUUUUACGAAGUCAAGGAACCUGAUUGAUCUUUAACUUUUGAGUCUAGCUGCUUAUUACAGGCUUUUGAAAGUGGAAGUCGCUCAAGGUGGGGAAAAAGGAAAACUGCUUUGACUAUAAGAGUCUGCUAACAAGAGAGGGUCUUGAAGGUUGUGAGUAUUGAGCUAGCUGUAGGCAUGGAAGUGAGAAGCAUAGCCAGAAACUUUUUGUUUGAUGUUCCAAAGCUGGACAUAUUAGAUGAAAAUGCUUCUACCUGCAAGAAAAUCCAACCUAAGGCACGAGUAGCAGUGGUGAUUGAUAUCAUACGAAAGACUUUGAUCACUGAUAAAAUAGAUAUGGAAGACUUGGAUCGAUGUUGCACAAGCCAAUAAUAGGUUUUUCUGCCAGCUCGUGUGGGGAAAAACUACAGUUCUCAUUUCUGAAAAAUGUUUUUGGGAAUUUGGAUUCUGGUCAUUGAUCCGCUUACUCCACGGGGAGAUGGACAGAAUGUUUUGAUUUGGUAUCUUUGAUAUCCAAAUUAGUGAAAGCAUUCAUGUGUUCAUAUGUAGUAGUUUGACUAGAAAUGAUCAGUCAAUCGGUUGGAAGACAAAUGUGGCGAUUUAAUUCAAAUAUGGGCGUGUUUAGAUGAGAAACCCAAAGAGACAUUUGCAAUUUUUCCUAUAUCAUAUUAUUUCAGCUGAAUGAAUGGAAUUUUAGAGCCUAUAUUCGA